rnacentral:rRNA from 1 species
CAGCAGCCGCGGUAAUACGUAGGGUGCAAGCGUUAAUCGGAAUUACUGGGCGUAAAGCGUGCGCAGGCGGUUAUAUAAGUCAGAUGUGAAGUCCCCGGGCUCAACCUGGGAACUGCAUUUGAGACUGUAUGGCUAGAGUGUGUCAGAGGGGGGUAGAAUUCCACGUGUAGCAGUGAAAUGCGUAGAGAUGUGGAGGAACACCGUUGGCGAAGGCAGCCCCCUGGGCCAAUACUGACGCUCAUGCACGAAAGCGUGGGGAGCAAACAGGAUUAGAUACCCCUGUAGUCCCUGUCUCUUAUAC